rnacentral:rRNA from 1 species
GUCGGCGACCGGCGGACGGGUGCGUAACGCGUGAGCAACCUUCCCGUAUCAGGGGGAUAACCGAUGGAAACGUCGCCUAAUACCCCAUAACAACACAUGUCUCCUGACGUGUGUUUGAAAGAUUCGUCAGAUACGGCUGGGCUCGCGUGACAUUAGCUGGUUGGUGAGGUAACGGCUCACCAAGGCAACGAUGUCUAGGGGUUCUGAGAGGAAGAUCCCCCACACUGGAACUGAGACACGGUCCAGACUCC